rnacentral:sRNA from 1 species
GGGUUCUUUUAGGCCUGGGCUCCUGUUGUUGAUUUCCCUGAAGCUUCUCUGAUGUCAAACUUCAUCUUGAUGCCUUUUUCAAGGUUCAGAUUAAUUUUUCCAUUCCUGACAUCCAUGACUGCUCCAGCUGAAGCUAGGAAUGGUCUGCCUAGGAUCAGGGGAUCCUUGCCUUCUUCAUCUACGUCCAAUACCACAAAAUCUGUAGGUAUCUCAACAUUUCCAAUCUUAACAGGCAGAUUCUCUAUGAGACCGUGAGGAUGUGCAACAGAACCAUCAGCUAAGAAUAAAGCUAAGUUGCAGAACUUGAAUUCUAUGAUCCCUAGCCUUUUAGCUGUAGAGAGAGGCAUAAGGCUAACAGAUGCUCCCAAAUCACAAAGGCACCUAUUGAAUGUCAAUGGUCCUAAAGAGCAUGGAAGAGUGAAUGAACCGGGAUCAUCAAGCUUUUCUUGGAUGACUUUCUUCUUGUAUAUUUCUUGAGUGCUGGAACUGCUAAUCAUCUUUUGAUUCUGCUCUUUCUUGAGUUUUUCAAUUUUGAAUCUUUUUCCGGAAUGUUGAGUAUUCAGCAAAGGUGUGUGCUCUAUAGUCUAGAUGGAUUGCUGAGUGGCAGGUGCAGCAAUUUGAGUUGAAUCCCCCCCUUCUUGAAUCAUACUGUCCUCAGUAUUGAGAGUCAGAUGACUUGGUGGAGACUCAUCUUCUUGGUGGAUGGUGAUAGCAUUAGCAGUAGCAUAGUCCUUAGGAUUCUGGACUGCUUUCCCUGGAAGUUGUUGAGGAUGCUUCGGAGCAGAGGUUGAUGCAAAUUGACUCUCCACAUACUUGAUUUUUGAGUUCAAAGCUUCAAACUUGACAUUCAGAUCGUUGUAUGAACAAUCGAUCUUGUUGUGUAAUUCAGCUAUCUUCUUGUCAAAAGCCAUAGCGCCAGUAGCUUACCCUUGGAUGAUCUGUUGAAUGAGUUGCUUAAUUUCAGGAUCUUGAGCUGCUGGGGCUUGUUGUGGUUGUUGAGUGAACCCUGGUGUUGGAUUCUGCUAUUGGUAGCCUCCAUUGAACUGUUGUUUAGGGACAUAACCUUGGUUAUACUGAACAAAAGGCUUGGACUGAUUCUGUUGUGGUGGAUACACUUGAUCUUGGGGGUUAGCUACAUUA